rnacentral:lncRNA from 10 species
GAAAGAUCAAGACAGAAGCCAAAGUAUCUUUUAUAACAAUCUCUGGAGUGGCAUAUCAUUAAUUCUGCCAUAUUCUCUUGGUUACAUAAAUCACCCUGGUACAGUGUGAGAAGGAACUACACAAGCAACCCCGAGAGCACAUCACAGUAUGGAGAAAACAUAAGAUCAAAGAAGCAUGCAACACUGAGCUAUCACACGGAGAACACCUGUCUGGGAAGCCACCUAAACUGACAG